rnacentral:rRNA from 1 species
GACGAACGCUGGCGGCGUGCUUAACACAUGCAAGUCGAGCGGUGAGGCCCUUUUCGGGGGUACGACGAGCGGCGAACGGGUGAGUAACACGUGGGUGACCUGCCCUCAGCUCUGGGAUAAAGCCGUGGGAAACCGGGUCUAAUACCGGAUAUGACUCCAUGACGCAUGUUGUGGGGUGGAAAGCCUUGUGCGGCUGAGGAU